ACGUGGGUGAUCUGCCCUGCACUUUGGGAUAAGCCUGGGAAACUGGGUCUAAUACCGAAUAUGACCGCGCACUUCCUGGUGUGUGGUGGAAAGCUUUUGCGGUGUGGGAUGGGCCCGCGGCCUAUCAGCUUGUUGGUGGGGUAAUGGCCUACCAAGGCGACGACGGGUAGCCGGCCUGAGAGGGUGACCGGCCACACUGGGACUGAGAUACGGCCCAGACUCCUACGGGAGGCAGCAGUGGGGAAUAUUGCACAAUGGGCGCAAGCCUGAUGCAGCGACGCCGCGUGAGGGAUGACGGCCUUCGGGUUGUAAACCUCUUUCAAUAGGGACGAAGCGCAAGUGACGGUACCUAUAGAAGAAGGACCGGCCAACUACGUGCCAGCAGCCGCGGUAAUACGUAGGGUCCGAGCGUUGUCCGGAAUUACUGGGCGUAAAGAGCUCGUAGGUGGUUUGUCGCGUUGUUCGUGAAAACUCACAGCUUAACUGUGGGCGUGCGGGCGAUACGGGCAGACUAGAGUACUGCAGGGGAGACUGGAAUUCCUGGUGUAGCGGUGGAAUGCGCAGAUAUCAGGAGGAACACCGGUGGCGAAGGCGGGUCUCUGGGCAGUAACUGACGCUGAGGAGCGAAAGCGUGGGGAGCGAACAGGAUUAGAUACCCUGGUAGUCCACGCCGUAAACGGUGGGUACUAGGUGUGGGUUUCCUUCCUUGGGAUCCGUGCCGUAGCUAACGCAUUAAGUACCCCGCCUGGGGAGUACGGCCGCAAGGCUAAAACUCAAAGAAAUUGACGGGGGCCCGCACAAGCGGCGGAGCAUGUGGAUUAAUUCGAUGCAACGCGAAGAACCUUACCUGGGUUUGACAUGCACAGGACGCCAGUAGAGAUAUUGGUUCCCUUGUGGCCUGUGUGCAGGUGGUGCAUGGCUGUCGUCAGCUCGUGUCGUGAGAUGUUGGGUUAAGUCCCGCAACGAGCGCAACCCUUGUCU
rnacentral:rRNA from 1 species